rnacentral:tRNA from 1 species
GAGGGUAUAGCUCAGUGGCAGAGCACAUGCUUAGCAAGCACAAGGUCCUGGGUUCAAUCCUCAGUCCCCCCA